rnacentral:rRNA from 1 species
AUUGAACGCUGGCGGCAUGCUUUACACAUGCAAGUCGAACGGUAACAGGCCGCAAGGUUCUGACGAGUGGCGAACGGGUGCGUAAUGCAUCGGAACGUGCCCAGUCGUGGGGUAUAACUACUCGAAAGAGUAGCUAAUACCGCAUACGAUCUAUGGAUGAAAGCGGGGGACCGUAAGGCCUCGCGCGAUUUGAGCGGCCGAUGUCAGAUUAGGUAGUUGGUGGGGUAAAGGCUCACCAAGCCAACGAUCUGUAGCUGGUCUGAGAGGACGACCAGCCACACUGGGACUGAGACACGGCCCAGACUCCUACGGGAGGCAGCAGUGGGGAAUUUUGGACAAUGGGCGCAAGCCUGAUCCAGCAAUGCCGCGUGCAGGAAGAAGGCCUUCGGGUUGUAAAGUGCUUUUGUACGGAACGAAACGGCUCUGGUUAAUACCCGGGGGUAAUGACGGUACCGUAAGAAUAAGCACCGGCUAACUACGUG